rnacentral:rRNA from 1 species
CCUACGGGUGGCAGCAGUGGGGGAUAUUGCACAAUGGGGGAAACCCUGAUGCAGCGACGCCGCGUGGGGGAAGACGGUCCUCUGGAUUGUAAACCACUGUCCCCAGGGACGAAAAUGACGGGACCUGGGGAGGAAGCUCCGGCUAACUACGUGCCAGCAGCCGCGGUAAUACGUCGGGAGCGAGCGUUGUCCGGAAUUACUGGGUGUAAAGGGAGCGUAGGCGGGGAUGCAAGUUGGGUGUCACAACUACCGGCUCAACUGGUAGUCGCACUCAAAACUGCAGCUCUUGAGUGAAGUAGAGGCAGGCGGCAUUCCUAGUGUAGCGGUGACAUGCGUCGAUAUUAGGAGGAACCCCAGUGGCGAAGGCGGCCUGCUGGGCUUUUCCUGCCGCUGAGGCUCGAUAGUGUGGGGAGCAAACCGGAUUAGAUACCCCUGUAGUC